AGCCUCAUCUUAAAAUGAAAGUGAAUGCCUUGUUGAACCACAAGCAGCUAAAUAAGAGCUUGGACAUGUAAGCAUCUUGUUAUUUCCUUUAGUCUCAUCUUUCUAUGACUGGGAUAAAAGCUACAAUCUGAAAAUAGUCACAUGCCUCUGGGGUUAACUGCUAGGAGUACUGUGAGUUUGUCUUGGUUAUAGAAACCUUCCCCAUCUGCAGCCUGUGCACCAAACCUGUUUAUUCAUCCAUAAGUUCACAGAGUGCAAAGAGGGUCUGUCACACGCCGAAGUUCAAGUAUCUGGUCUCUGCCAGCUCCUCUGGAAGGACCUGAGCUGCUCCUUGCUCUGCAAUCUUGUGUAUGGGGCUUCACAUUCAUGGAGGUUUAGGACUUUGUGCCUUUGACUCUCCCAUUCUUAAAACUAUUACAAAUUAAAUUAGUAGCCUGGAUGAACUGAUCUGUCCAUGAAACAGAUGCAGAGUUUAUGAACUUUAUGUAGAGAAGCUUCCAGGGAUCUUUAAAAUGGGCCAUGUCCUGUGCUGCAUGUGAGGGCUGUGGGGUUUGGUGCAGCCCCUGACUAACCUAGGCAGUCUCACUGAACAAUUUAACAGCUGCGUUGACCAUGAAGCUUUAACACAUCCUCAUCCAAGGUCUUCUGGGAGCACUCUAAGCAUGCAUUAAACACUGUGGUUCUCAUCCUACACUCCAGACAAGGCAAAGGCUCAGGCAGCAUUGGGAAGGGAUUUCUCACAACUGGUGCGUUUACAGUCGGAUUUCUUAACUGGAAUGGGGACUGCAAGAGUUUUUAAAAACUAAAAACCCAAACCCUGCAAUUUCAUGCUGCUUCACUUCUGUGGUUUUUGUUUUGUCUCUUUCUUAAGUAUAGUGUAUGGACAGCGCCAUGGGUUAGGGAACACUUCAGCUUCAUCUUCAGAGACUUUUCAUAUGUAGCCUUCUGCUGAAGUCAAUGGGUGUGGAGGUAAGCAGUGCUGAGUGCUUUCUGACAACAUCACUGCCACCCACUCUGCAGCCUGAUGCACACAGCACUCCUUGUAUUUGAGCAUUGUUUUUCUCCAAAAAAGUUGCAUGUGGUUGCACAAUAAAGACACGGCUUAUUUGUGUAAUGCAAAUCUGUUCCUGCUUGUUGGUACAAAGUGCAAGCAGCGAGCAUCAAAGUGCUCGAGACUUCACAGAUCCUGCAUGAACACUUGCUACUGAACUUCAGUGACAUCCUGCAUUAUGUCAGAAUAAAAGAUGACAUCACAGUUGGUCUGUGAGUGAAUGGGAUUUGAACUCAGGGUUGAAUGUUGCUGCCUGGAAGGUUGCUCAUGCUCAACACCCUUUGCUCUGCUACUAUUUGUUUGUUUAUGUAUUUUUACAGCUGCUGAGUUUAGUUUCUCUAAGGUUAAUUAUUUUAUCAGGAGCCAGUCAGAAUCGGAGUUUCCUGAUUUUUUUUUCCUUGUCUUUCUGUUGAUUUCCUGUUUUGUUGAAACACAACUUUCUCUGUUGAAACAACUCAGUUUCCGUCUAGUGACUUGAAGUGUCUGAAAUGGCCUGGUAUUCUCACAGAGAUAUUGACAGUGGGGUCUGGUGACUAAAUUGUUGUGAUAAAACAAAAAUUCAUUGGUUGAUGCUGUUGAAAUCCGCUGACUUUUCUAUGCUGCUAAUAGAAGGCUUUAAAAUAUCCAGCUGCAGACUGAUCCUCUCCAAGCAUGUGAUGCUGACAUCAGUCCUAGAAGUGAGGCGUUGAACUGCCUCCAAAAAUGAGCUCAUCGGGUAAUAUUCAAUGCACUGGUUUAGCAAAAUAUUAAUUAAUUUGAUUACGUGGUCACCUGUACAUACUGUUUGAAAGAUGGCAGUUCAUUCCAAUUUUAGUUGCUACUGUUCAAGAUACCAGUGUUACAAAGAUCCUGUUGAUAGGACACUGUGCUCCCACUGUAUGCUGGGACCUGGGCUUGGCAGAGCCUGUCUCUAAUUGCCACUAACUUGCUCUAAGACUUGCCAGUUUCUUGACUUUUCUUCUCUCUGCAUCCCUCCCAGUAAGCUGCAGGGAAUAAGACAAGAUUCUGUUGUCAAGCCAUCUGACUAAAGCCACUCAUAAAACUUGCUCAAUUUUCUUGUGGCUCCCUUGACUUUUUUAAAUGACUGUGUAAAAACACAGCCAUGUGCUUUCCCAGAAGUUUGAGUAAUGAUCCAUCUUCAUUUUGACCUGCCUGAUACCAAAGCUGAGUGACCAUAAUGAGAUUAAACCCUUGCAGAACUGCCCUGGAGGCUUCCUCCCCUCGUGUAGCUUGAGGUCAGCAGUAACUGCAAACUUCCUCUUAUAGCCCACACAGAGUGUGGAUUCGAGCAACCUUGGACUGAUGGUGACCCCAAAUGCUUGGCUAUUAUUUUAUAAACUUGAAGAAAUUUCGUAUUUACCGUUAAUUACAGUAAUCGCACAUUCUAGAUGCAACUGUGAGAGCACAUUAACAUGUGUCUGAUUACUUAUUUAUUUGAAACAUGGGCAUAAGAGAAACAGUUUGUUAGAAGGGUUUGUGUGCAUUUGUGCAGAAAGAGUUUUGUCUUCCUCCCCUCACCCAGUAUUUUCCUCAUGUUAACUGCACAUUGCAGGAUUGUUAGUUUUGGAUUCUGUUUCCCCCUGAAUACAAGUCUUUAUGGAGCUGCCCACUGCUCUUCUUUCAAGAAACGCUGCUGCUAACUUAAGACAGAGGAAGAUGCUAUGUGUAACAGGGCUGUAACGAUGCCUGAAUUGCAAACUUGUGCAACUAAAGAAUGGUAUUGUGCAAAACAGAAUGGAAAAACUGCUGCUGAUGAGCACAGAGAGUUGAGGCAACAAGAAGCCCUACUUAGAGAGCAAGAGAAGCUGGGUUUGAAGAACAAGUAGUAGUAAACAAGAUAGGAAGGCUCUGUUCCUGCAAGAGUAAAUGAUCCCUUAGAGCAGCCAAGGAGGCUGUUUGAUGUGAACUCUGUGCAAAGUUCAGUGGAGAGUGUGCUCCAAUGUCCUGCGCGAUGCUGCUUUUUUCUCCUCCUUGUUUACAAGAAGCUGGUAUGAUUUCAGAAUAAACUUCUGAAGCAUCCUUGCUGGGAGAAUUUGGAUGACAAAAUAUUUCUUAGCAUGUAGAAAGUUAUUGCUACGGCAGUAACUGUUGAAGCUGGCUGAGUGGCUGCUGCCUGGUUUUGGUUAAUGUCAGGAAUUGUGCUGGUGGGAAACAAGUCCUGGGGUGGGACUGUGCAGUCUCCGUUGUGCCUCAGCACAGUUCUCAGCAUACUUCAGAUGCUGCCUCUGCAAAACGAUGAAAUAAACUUCCGCUUUUCCCAGUAAAAUGCCUCUAGUACACACAUCACGGAGCUGUUUUUGUCCAUCUUUAUUUAACAAUAACAAGGGUUGUGCAGAAAACAUGCAGGGCGUGGAAAUGGAGAGCUGAGCCCCAUCUAUCCUCUGCUGCUGAAGGGUGGGAGGAGGUAGGAAAGCAUGGAAAAGAGGAAAACAGCUUUGCCUGUGCCUGUUUUGAUACUGAAGAACUCUUCCCAGGGAUCUGAGAAGGGGGUGGGGAGAGAACCAGAUGCUCUUAGGAAGUUCAUACCAUUGUUAAUAAUGUAAUUCACAGAUGGUGGUGAAGGCCUUGAAGAGGCUUUCAUGCAGUACUUACGCUCUGUAACAGAUCAUCACAUACGGGCUCACAAAUAGAGAUGACUUAAUCCCAAGGAUGAGUCUACAGUGAUCUGUUUGAUGAUAGGCCUGCAGAUCACUGCAACCUUUUUAAACAGUUAAGAGCCUCAGGAUCCCUGGAUGUUGAGCACUACAAUUGGACCAAUCUCUAAUUAAAUUGUCAGGAUAAAAUAUUCAUAUAGCUCUGAGACUUUUCCAAUGACAAUAGCGCUUGAAAUUAGAAAACAAGUUCCUUUGUCCUGGUACAGAAAUCAAUACAGGUAAAGCAUGAACAUCAGUUUGUACAAUGACAUCUUGUUAAGAGGCAGUUUUGCUUUUAUUUCCAUUUGUCUGCUCGGAGCUGGAAGCAGAGCUUGUCUGUGUUCUGAAUAGCUGUCAGUACUUUGUGACAGCUAAGAAGGUUUGUGCCUUGCAUGUCCUCCUGUUGAAAAAGAAGUCACUCAUACCUAUAAGCUUUACAGCAAAUGAACAGGCUGCUUGUUUUCAGACAUGUAGAAUCAGAAAAGAUUUAGCUCAAGUGCUUGCAAUAAAAUUCAAUAUUUGUAUGUUUGUGAGAGGUUUAUUGAUAAGAUCUUCCCUGGCUACUGGUCAGCUUUUUUAUUUGGUGUAAGCUGUGUAACUACAAGUGUUUAUCAAGGACUUGUAAGCAAUACUGGCUUGCAUGUGUAGCACUAGAACAUAAGAACUGAUCUUGGUUUUGUUUGUUGCUGUCUUUUCAAGUGAGACAUUCCCAUUGUGGGUUUUAUUAUUAUUAUUAUUAACUUCAAGUUUAAAUUGAAUUUAGUAAAUUGACUUCUUGUGAUGUUUGUCAUGUGAUGGUUCAUGAGCUCUGAAGAAUGUGCUCCUGUGACUUCAGCCAUGUAUUUGCCUGUACCAAUGUAGGCUGUAUCAUGUGUUCUUUCUUGUUGGUCUUGCAUUUUGAGCUAAGUAGUGGAGGGGGUUGGGAGAAAAAAAAAAGGGGGGGGGAACUAAUUCAGGGCUAAGCUACCAGAAAUUUUCAGACUGCUUAAUUUGUGACCUUGUUCCCUAGUUAAAUACAACCCAGGAUUUUCUGCCUCUUCCAGAGUUUCACAGAAGUGUUUUCUGCAUUAGAAGCUGAGUUUUUCUCUUACUAUCCUUGUUAAAAAACAGGAAAACACAAUGCUUUGGUAAAAGAAAUACCUUGACAUCUUGGGGAAAGAGAUUUUUUUAAUCCUUGGUGGGUGGUUGUGCUUUAACUGAGAAAGUUAGAAACUGUCUUUCUGAUCCACAUUUUUUGCAUAUAUCAACUGUAAAGCAAUAUCUUUAUUACUGCAGUAAAAUGAACAAAGUUGAAAUGACUGCAUCUGUGCCAAGAAUUUUUGUUUUCACCACAAUGGCCGAAGUUUUGGAGCACUAAAAGUGCUGUCAGUGAGUCUCCAGCUCCUUGUCUCACUGCCUGCCUGUGCUGUCUAUGUCCAGUGGAAGCAGAGACCCCUCCCAGGACUGAGGACUCACAAGCUCAUACAGUAUUUCCACUUGGCUCAGAAGAUGUGGAUUUGUGAGCUGAGGGAAUCCUCAUCUGGCUGGUCACCCAAGCCUUCUUCAAGAGUAUUAGAAGGAUCUACAGCCUAAGUUCAUCAGAGGGCUGACCUGCUCUGGUUUUAAUGAGAUUUAUUAUACCUGUACCUGUUGGAUUCUGUGGUUUUGAUCUUCAAAAUUAUCUGAAUAAACCUGUUAGUGAAAGCAAAA